UACAGAGGGUGCGAGCGUUAAUCGGAAUUACUGGGCGUAAAGCGUGCGUAGACGGUUAUGUAAGUCGGGUGUGAAAGCCCCGGGCUCAACCUGGGAAUUGCAUUCGAGACUGCAUAGCUAGGGUGCGGAAGAGGGAAGCGGAAUUUCCGGUGUAGCGGUGAAAUGCGUAGAUAUCGGAAGGAACACCAGUGGCGAAAGCGGCUUCCUGGUCCAGCACCGACGUUCAGGCACGAAAGCGUGGGGAGCAAAUAGG
rnacentral:rRNA from 1 species